rnacentral:rRNA from 1 species
AUUGAACGCUGGCGGCAUGCUUUACACAUGCAAGUCGAACGGUAACAGGCCGCAAGGUGCUGACGAGUGGCGAACGGGUGAGUAAUGCAUCGGAACGUGCCCAGUCGUGGGGGAUAACUACUCGAAAGAGUAGCUAAUACCGCAUACGAUCUAUGGAUGAAAGCGGGGGACCGUAAGGCCUCGCGCGAUUGGAGCGGCCGAUGUCAGAUUAGGUAGUUGGUGGGGUAAAGGCUCACCAAGCCAACGAUCUGUAGCUGGUCUGAGAGGACGACCAGCCACACUGGGACUGAGACACGGCCCAGACCCCUGCGGGAGGCAGCAGUGGGGAAUUUUGGACAAUGGGCGCAAGCCUGAUCCAGCAAUGCCGCGUGCAGGAAGAAGGCCUUCGGGUUGUAAACUGCUUUUGUACGGAACGAAACGGCUCUGGUUAAUACCCGGGGCUAAUGACGGUACCGUAAGAAUAAGCACCGGCUAACUACGUG